rnacentral:rRNA from 1 species
CGGGGAGCACCACAACAGGUGGAGCCUGCGGUUUAAUCGGACUCAAACGCCGGGAAACUCACCAGAUAAGACAGCUGAAUGAUAGUCGGGCUGAAGACUCUACUUGACUAGCUGAGAGGAGGUGCAUGGCCGUCGUCAGUUCGUACUGUGAAGCAUCCUGUUAAGUCAGGCAACGAGCGAGACCCACGCCAACAGUUGCCAGCUCGUCCUCCGGGAUGGUGGGGACACUGUUGGGACCGCCUCUGCUAAAGAGGAGGAAGGAAUGGGCAACGGUAGGUCAGCAUGCCCCGAAUUAUCUGGGCUACACGCGGGCUACAAUGGGUGGGACAAUGGGUAUCGACACCGAAAGGUGAAGGCAAUCUCCUAAACCCAUCCGUAGUUCGGAUUGUGGGCUGCAACUCGCCCACAUGAAGCUGGAAUCUGUAGUAAUCGUGUCUCAAAAUGGCACGGUGAAUAUGUCCCUGCUCCUU